ACUAUGUAGAUGCUUAUUAUUCGAAGGCAUGAUACUUGGAGGUGUAUUCUCAUUUAGUAAUGCCGAUGAAUGGGAUGUCUUUGUGGGAGGAAACUGAUAACCAACCAAUAUUGCCUCCUACAUAUACAAGGCAACCUGGAAAGCCGAAGAGGAGGAGAAACAAAGAAGCUGCUGAGAGGGACAAUGAGGGUGAACAAACUCCCACAAACCCAACCAAUAAUCUUCAAGGUCAUCCUCAACCACUUAAGCUAGGAAGGAAAGGGCAAGGCACUUUGAAAUGUACUAUAUGUAAAAAGGAAGGUCAUAAUGCAAGAACCCAUCAUGGACAUCUUCCUCCAAGGGACAAACAAGUAACAUUUUCUACUUUAUGUGGUUUUUUAAAUCCUUUAACAUCAUAUCAGACUCUUAAUUCUUUAAAUUGCUUUGUAGGCAUCCACAUUUGCUCAAGGACAAUCACCAUCAACAUAUUCAGCUCAAACUGCACCUAAAAAUAGGACAAGGAAAACAAAGUGAUAUGAGCAUAUUUAUGCGACUUUGUUAUCUUAUUUCUUUGCAUUUGCUUAGUUAAUUUCCAUUUAUUAUCGUAAUUUAAGUUAUUUUUGUAUUAUUGCAGGUCCAAUUGGUAAAGAUGACGAUAAAUGGCUAAUGGAGCAAUUUAGAGCAGUUUUGGACUUGGAUUGGAUGGCAUGCGUGUGGAGCAGUGGGGCUAGACGUUUUUGGUGUUUAACAUGUGCUAAAUAUGUGCUAAAAUCUGGAGGAAUUAAAUUUGGAAGCUUGGAAGACAAGGAAAGAUAUAAUCUUAUCUAACCUUAUCCAAUCUUAUCUUAUCUUAUCCAGACUUAUCUUAUCUUAUCCAGUUUACCUUAUCUUAUCUUAUCCAAUUUACCUUAUCUUAUCUUACCUUAUCCAAACAUUAUCCCAUUUUAUACAACAUUAUCUCAUAUUAUCUCCAGCUACAAAAGGAGUCAUUAUUCUAUUCUAAAUACUUCCCAUUUGAUUCUAGGAGU
rnacentral:lncRNA from 1 species